rfam:Rattus norvegicus chromosome X, whole genome shotgun sequence.
GGGGACUUAGCUCAGUGGUAGAGCGCUUGCCUAGCAAGCACAAGGCCCUGGGUUCGGUCCCCAGCUCUG